rnacentral:rRNA from 1 species
AGGCGUAACGAUUUGGGCACUGUCUCAACAACAGACUCGGUGAAAUUGUAAUUCCGGUGAAGAUGCCGGAUACCUGCGACAGGACGGAAAGACCCCAUGGAGCUUUACUGUAGCUUGACAUUGGGUCUUGGUACUACAUGUACAGGAUAGGUGGGAGGCUUUGAAACCAGGACGCCAGUUUUGGCGGAGCCAUCCUUGGGAUACCACCCUUGUAGUACUGGGACUCUAACCAUAGGCCAUGAAUCUGGUCUUGGGACACUGUCAGGUGGGCAGUUUGACUGGGGCGGUCGCCUCCCAAAAGGUAACGGAGGCGCUCAAAGGUUCUCUCAGUACGGUCGGAAAUCGUACGUAGAG